AACCGCGGUUAUACGAGAGAAGCCCAAGUUGAUAUUUCUCGGCGUAAAGUGUGGUUAGCGCCUUCUUAUACUAAAGCCGAACGUCUGCACAGGUGUCAAAAGCGUCUGCAGAUAUGAAGCCCCUCACGAAAGUAGCUUUAAUCCCGUGAAUCCACUAAAGCCAAGAAA
rnacentral:rRNA from 1 species